GUUUGUCUUCUGAUUGGUAAAGAAUUCGAUGAAUCUAUGGCUCAAAUGAACUAGCACGACAGCUAUAUUCUAUAUCAAGCUAUAAUUUUUCACAACUCUUUUCAUUGCUUUUUUAUUCUUUUCGGGGAAUCUGGGUAUGUUAUUUAUGGCAGCUUUUGCUUUAAUAAUAGAGUGAUUACUGAUUAGCGAUUCCAUUAUGGAAACCCUGUUUUAGAGCAGGUUUCUUCAGCUGAUAAGUGUUGAUGUCUCCAAUUUUUUUGUUUUAAAUUUAAGUCGAUUCUGAUUUCAAUUUUUACUCUUUGGCAAAUAAUUUUUAUUAUUAUUUUCAUUUCCUGAAGCAACUUAUUCAGUUGAUAUACUCUAUCCAAAAAUUACCUUGAUGGUAUCUUUAGUGUUUGUUAUUUGGAUCCAACAGUGUUUGUUAGGAUUUUGGAGUUCCAAGAUUAUGUUCCUAUGAACUCUUUUAGAAGAUUAUUGUUGUACUUAGAAGUU
rnacentral:misc_RNA from 1 species